CCUACGGGUGGCAGCAGUGGGGAAUAUUGGACAAUGGGGGCAACCCUGAUCCAGCCAUGCCGCGUGUGUGAAGAAGGCCCUCGGGUUAUAAAGCACUUUCAGUGAGGAAGAACGCCUGGUGGUUAAUACCCAUCAGGAAAGACAUCACUCACAGAAGAAGCACCGGCUAACUCCGUGCCAGCAGCCGCGGUAAUACGGAGGGUGCGAGCGUUAAUCGGAAUUACUGGGCGUAAAGCGCGCGUAGGUGGCUUGAUAAGCCGGUUGUGAAAGCCCCGGGCUCAACCUGGGAACGGCAUCCGGAACUGUCAAGCUAGAGUGCAGGAGAGGAAGGUAGAAUUCCCGGUGUAGCGGUGAAAUGCGUAGAGAUCGGGAGGAAUACCAGUGGCGAAGGCGGCCUUCUGGACUGACACUGACACUGAGGUGCGAAAGCGUGGGUAGCAAACAGGAUUAGAUACCCCGGUAGUC
rnacentral:rRNA from 1 species